rnacentral:misc_RNA from 1 species
GAAAGUUGAUGAGAAGAUUACCCAAUUUAUCGAUAAGGUGAAGAAGCACCCCAACCAGAAACACCAGAUCUGUGUAUCCUUCUAUGAAUCCAAAAACAAACAGACCUCAUGGUUCACAAAGAACGUUGAACGUUGCUACUGGGAACACUGGUACAUAAAUUUGAGCGUGGCUCAUAAUCCGAAAGCAGAUUCUGGCAAGUCUCACCACUCCAAAGUUGUUAACCUAGAA